rnacentral:lncRNA from 1 species
UCCUUCUCUCAUGUUAGCAUCGCAGAUAUAGAGUACCACAGUAUGAGUCAUAAUACCCAUAAAACCUAGCGGUCAAAUAGGGAAAUGGUUCAAAUCGUUUCUCCACCAUUCAUUUUUCCCAUAGGGGAUUUUAGAAACACUUAAAAUAAGGCUGUGUUUCGUGUAGGCUUACCCUGGCGUGACGUUUUGAUAACCGUGUAAAUCUCUCUAGGUCUAGGGCAAGGUGACUUUUAUCAAUGUAUUCACCUGUAUUUAUCCCCCAAAAAGGAAAUCCUAAUUAGCUGCAAAUAUGGCUAUCAGAAAGAACUACAAAUGCAAUGAUGAUCUGGACGAGACUGCAAAAUCGAGGCAAAGCUCUUUGAUGACAGAAUGGACAACCCCAGGGCCUGGGACUCAUCAGCUCGGGGGCUGAUGAGUCCACUCUAGGAUGGUGGAGAGGAUAAGUCUCUGUGGCCAGGACCAUAGAAUACUUUUUCCAUAGGGUACAGCACCUCUGCUCUGGGGUCGCGAAACCACACUCUGGGCUGUUCUACGUCUGCUGGGGACAGGCUGAACUACAACAGGAUUAUAGUAACCUCGAAUGGCUGCUUUCUCCGAGUACUCAAACUGACCAGGGGCUACCAUUACAUUUGAUCGAGGCGCAGAAUUCUCGACCUGCUCAAAGUUGGGCUUGUGGCUGCUAACAAGUUCUCCCUUGGGAGUGUAGACAGAAUGCCUGACAGAGGAGUCAGCCAAACUGGGAUCAGAACCGUGAUAGUUUAAUGUAGACGGUUUGGGUUGAAAGCCUCUGGCAAAGACUUGUCCAUAGGCCCAGUCAGUUGGAUGGCCUAUGGCGUGUUGGUCGAAGAUUGUAAGGGACAAACUGGGUCCUAAGGAGGUCCAAACCCAGGGCAGCUGCUCAGGCUAGUGAAAAGACAGCAUCAAAACAGAAAUGCUAGUGUAAGUAUCUUACGCCAAAAUAUGACAUUAAGCAACUACAUUGAGGACAUGCACAGAGUACCUCUUGCCAUGUUGUCACACCAGGAACCUCCAGCAAAGACAGUGCCAAUCAAAAGGACACUGCAAGAGAUAAAGACAUUCAAUACAAAUGCAUGAUCUAGGAAGAAACAUUUUUAAAGAGCCACAAAUUUUACCUUAGAUAUAUGGGCAGAGGUCGAUGCAUUGUUUCAGUGGUAUCGACCCAAACAACCUGAUGACCAAAUGAUUCAAGCACCUUACAACCUCUUGACAUGCAGCCACUACCCUGCCCUUCUUGAUGAACUAAUUAUGAACAGCUGGUUGUCAUGGAGACCGAACCCAAACAUUUCAUGUACUCAACCAUUAGGCAAAUUGCUUCAUUACACCAGCUGAUUAGAUAGAAAUGUCUGCUCAGCAGCAGUAUUGUGGUGGUUUAACCCAUCGAUAUUAAACAGUGUUCUAUAUAUAUGUGGUUUAACCGUCCAUUUUUGUUGCAUGCAAGUUUUUUUUAUUUUUUAUUAUUA